rnacentral:rRNA from 1 species
AGAGUUUGAUCCUGGCUCAGAUUGAACGCUGGCGGCAGGCCUAACACAUGCAAGUCGAGCGGAAACGAUGGAGUGCUUGCACUCCAGGCGUCGAGCGGCGGACGGGUGAGUAACGCGUGAGAAUCUGCCCAUUAGUGGGGGAUAACCCGGGGAAACUCGGGCUAAUACCGCAUACGUCCUACGGGACAAAGCAGGGGACCUUUUGGCCUUGCGCUGAUGGAUGAGCUCGCGUCGGAUUAGCUUGUUGGUGAGGUAAAGGCUCACCAAGGCGACGAUCCGUAGCUGGUCUGAGAGGAUGAUCAGCCACACCGGGACUGAGACACGGCCCGGACUCCUACGGGAGGCAGCAGUGGGGAAUCUUGGACAAUGGGGGCAACCCUGAUCCAGCCAUGCCGCGUGUGUGAAGAAGGCCUUCGGGUUGUAAAGCACUUUCAGCAGGGAGGAAGGCUUUGGGUUAAUACCCUGGAGUACUUGACGUUACCUGCAGAAGAAGCACCGGCUAAUUUCGUGCCAGCAGCCGCGGUAAUACGAAAGGUGCAAGCGUUAAUCGGAAUUACUGGGCGUAAAGCGCGCGUAGGCGGUGUGUUAAGUCGGAUGUGA